GCGCAGCAGGCGAGAAACUUUACAAUGUGCGAAAGCACGAUAAGGGAACUCUGAGUGCCUCCUAAGGAGGCUGUUCUGAUGUCUAAAAAGCAACAGAAGUAAGGGCUGGGUAAGACCGGUGCCAGCCGCCGCGGUAACACCGGCAGCCCAAGUGGUAGCCACGUUUAUUGGGUCUAAAGCGUUCGUAGCCGGCCGGGUAAGUUCCUUGGUAAAUUUAGCCGCUUAACGGUUAAGCUUUCAGGGAAUACUGCUUGGCUUGGGACUGGGAGAGGUCAGAGGUACUCCGGGGGUAGGGGUGAAAUCUAUUAAUCCCUGGGGGACCACCGGUAGCGAAGGCGUCUGACCAGACCAGGUCCGACGGUGAGGGACGAAGGCUAGGGGCGCGAACCGGAUUAGAUACCCCUGUAGU
rnacentral:rRNA from 1 species